UUCGGGUGCUCUAGUACUUCGCCGCCAACCGCGAGACGAGACCACGCCGCCCACCCACUCGCCGCGCGCCGCCCGCCGCGGCACUCGCCCCGUCCACCAUCGCGUCUGGCUAGCAGCCCAGCACAGACCAUUCACAACUCCUUCCUCCGCUGAAGCUCCCCUUCCCCGCCGCGGCGCCCUCCUCGUCGCCCAUGGCAUCUAGCUAGCAGCCCACCAGAGACCAUUCACAACCCCUACGCGGCCGCGUCGCCGCCAAGGCCCCCCACCCCCAAGCUCUUUCAGGGUGCUAGUGGUCUCCCUGAGGCCGGUCACGAUUAGCACCGACGGUGUGUCCUUGACUGCUCUCGAGGAGCACGUGGCCGCGCGGACAAGGUGCUCGACGAAUUGCCUGCCUGUUCUGGCUUCUGAGCUGAAGAAUGCAACGAUGCUGCCGGGUCAUUGUGUCGCAGCCGGCUGUGCUCCGGCCACAUAAAGGCAACCACGCCGCGUCACGGUUCUGCACUGCAGGCUUCGAGCUGCCUGAAUGGUUCAGGAACCCAAAGAAGGACGGCGACUCCUUUGAUGGUGAUGACCAUGACAAAUUUGUGCUCCCGAUCAAGUCUGAUCCCGUGGAGGAACGGAGCCAUGGAGGCAGCUCCAAGCCUCUGUCGCUCCGCCCCGAGGCUGCCUCCCACGAGGACGCCGAGUUCGAGGCUGAUUUCGACGAAGCCAGCAGGAUCCUGACCUCUUGCUUUGCGUCCCCGGAGGCCAUCGUGAUAGCCAUGGACUGCUGCCCUGUCAGGGUAUCAGACCGCAUGGUCGACAAGAUCCUAAGGAGGUUUGGCAGUGAUUGGGUGGCGGCGUUCGGGUUCUUUAUGUGGGCCGGUGCUCAGGAAGGCUACUGCCACUCUGCUGAUUCAUACAACUCGAUGGUUGACAUACUAGGAAAGUUCAAACAGUUUGAUUUGAUGUGGGGCUUGAUCACUCAGAUGGAUGAGAUUGGCGGUUUGGUGUCGCUGGCAACGAUGACAAAGGUGAUGAGGAGGCUCGCUGGGGCCAGCCGGUGGAGCGAUGCCAUAGACACCUUCAACAAAAUGGACCGGUUUGGUGUUGUGAAAGACACCACAGCUAUGAAUGUGCUCCUAGACACGCUGUGCAAGGAGAGGAGCGUGAAGCGCGCGAGAGGCGCGUUCCAAGAGUUGAGGGGAUCGGUACCUCCCGACGAGAGUAGUUUCAACACGUUGGUCCAUGGGUGGUGCAAGGCGAGGAUGAUGAAUGAAGCCCGUGAUACGAUGAAGGAGAUGGAGGAACAUGGCUUCAAGCCCUCAGUGAUAACUUACACCAGCCUGAUAGAAGCAUACUGUAUGGAGAAAGAUUUUCAGACGGCUUACGCCAUCCUAAACGAGAUGCGCUCGAAAGGAUGCCCUCCAAAUGUUAUCACAUACACGAUUGUGAUGCACGCUCUAGGGAAGGAUGGAAGAACGCAAGAAGCUUUGGAUAUAUUUGACAAGGUGAGGAGGGAUGGCUGUGCCCCAGACGCUUCCUUCUACAACUCUCUCAUAUACAUACUCGGCAGAGCAGGGAGACUGGAGGAUGCAAACUCCGUCGUCGAUAAGAUGUCCAGCACUGGAGUUCCCCCCACUGUUGCUACCUUCAACACCCUAAUUUCUGCUGCCUGUGACCACUCCCAGGCAGAGAAUGCCCUGAAGAUGCUGGUUAGGAUGGAGGAGCAGUCAUGCAAGCCUGACAUCAAGACGUACACCCCAUUGCUGAAGCUGUGCUGCAAAAGGCAAUGGAUAAAGGUACUCCGGUUCCUCAUAUGCCACAUGUUCAGGAAGGAUAUCACCCCUGAUUUCAGCACCUAUACCUUGUUGGUAACCUGGCUGUGCCGGAACGGGAAGCCUGCUCAGUCUUGCCUGUUCUUGGAGGAGAUGGUCCUGAAGGGUUUUACGCCAAAGAAAGAAACGUUUGAUCUUGUGGUGGAGAAGCUUGAUAAGGAAAAUCUCCAUUCAGCGAAGAAAAAGGUUCAACUUCUCACCCUGCGGGCAGCUGCUGUGAAAGUGUGAAGCACACUGGUUCCCCUUACAUGAACAAGGAUGGUGCUGCUGGACAACAUAGUGACAUACUAUCAAACGCUUGUGGCCAUGAACCUUAGAACAAAUGCGAAGCACGAAGCUGACCUCCAAAUGGACACCGAUCGGCGACACCAUGACGCCGCAUAUCGCGCGCCCGGCCUCUGGCAUUCCGCCGAACACACACCGUGCGCGUGCGCCGGCGGACAUCGACAGCAGCUCAAGAAACAUCAUGGACGGAGCACGCACGGGAGCACAGACAGGACGCCCAGGAACCCAACAAGCCAUUCAAGAAAGCGGGC